AUUAAAGGAGAAUGUUCUCAUAAUUGGCAGGGACACUGUGGCAGGCUCUCACUCCUGGUCCAGGGGUCUGGACCUUCCCACUUGCUCCCUGCAGGAUCUGGGCAGCCCAUGCUGGCCUGCAGGUGCGUCACUGCAUCUCAUGGGCAUGCCAAGCUCCAGAGGUACCCUGCUGUGAGCUGCCUGCCUGCAUCCAGCCCUGGCAGAAGCCUCAGGCUUCAGCAUGGGCCUCUGUGAGUCAGCUGAACCUUGCACGGCUCCUCCCAACACAUGACCUUGCAGAAGAGAUUUAAAUUUCUUCUCACAUCAGGGUCUCAGCACAAGUGAGGAGGCCAUGAGGACCAUGUCAUCUACUGCUGAGGGAAUCAGGAGUUGGAGCGUCUCACUAACAGCUUAGGAUGCAAGGUGGGCUCGGUUCAUGCUGACGCAGUUCUCAGCCCCACAGUCAGGAAGGCUGUAGGCCCCGCAAAAGGAAGAGUCCACCAGCAGGGCAGGAGAGCGAUCCAGGACCAUCACUGGGCCAGGGCCAGGCACAGGAGCCAGCCUCUGGCUUUGUCUUUGCCUCCCCUUGUGCUUCUCCCCAUCUUUUCUAGGGACGCUUGUCAUUGGAUUUAGGACCCACCCUAAUCCAGAUGAGCUCAUCACAAGACUCUUUUUUUUUUUUUUUGUGAGACAAGAUCUUGCUCUGUUGCCCAGGCUGGAGUGUAAUGGCACGAUCUCGGCUAACUGCAACCUCUGCCUCCCAGGUUAAGAGAUUCUCCUGCCUCAGCCUCCUGAGUAGCUGGAAUUACAGGCAUGCACCACCAUGUCCAGUUAAUUUUUAUAUUUUUAGUAGAGAUGGGAUUUCACCAUGUUGGCCAGGCUGGUCUCGAACUCCUGGACUCAGUUGUUCCACCUGCCUCAGCCUCCCAAAAUGCUGGGAUUACAGGUGCGAGCCACUGUGCCCGCCCACAAGAUUCUUAAUUGCAUCUGCAAGGACCUUUUCACCAAAUAAGCUCAGAUUCACAGGUCCCAGGGGCUACAAUGUGGACGUGGUAUUUUGGGAAUCAUCAUUCAACCCACUACAAGAAAUGAGACUUACCUCCAGCUCAGGGAGCAGAGGGCACCCCCCAGUGUAGACAGCGCUGAACCUCAGUGUGGGAAGGGAAAGACAGGAGUAGCAACAAUAGUGAAAGAAUAAGAAUACAUCUUGCCCGGGCUUCCUGUCAGGAAGGAGCAUGAAGAGAGAAGCCGUGUGUAUGCGUGGACUGAUGUUUUUAAUAAUGGUAUCUCCUGAGCUGCAUCCCACACUUAGGGGUAACUCUCAUCCUAUGUCCAAAGCUCUAUGUCAUGGAAAUCAAAUUUAAAACUGACACCAAGCAUCGAGAUGAGAGCAUUUGGGCGUCAGAGAGCAUCACUUGUACACAUUCAAAAAGAAAAACCUUGGAGCUGGUUAUGAGGCUGCUACCAGGCACAGGCCUCAAGGAAGUCCGAGGGUCCCCUCUGCUCAGACCCAGAAUCCCAUGCCGGGGGUGGACGUGGCUUUGGCAGAAAGAGUUCUGGGAAGCUCCUCACUGUCAAAUGCAGAGCGGAGGCCAGGAGAGGACCCUGGUCCUUGGAGUCACCCAGGAGCUCACCUUUCUGGGCUCCUGGGCUCUGAAUCCACUCCCUAGCACAAAUUCAUGGGUUUCUUAGACUAACUUCUAUAUGUUUUUAUAAUGGGAAGAAAUGGCUUAUAAGAUUCAAAGCAAUGAGACCUUCGUAGCACUCAGUUCAGUGCCAGGCACAUGUAGACAGGAAAUCAAAGUCAGUGGCUGUUCAAGCUGAAUUCACGUCCAGGCCCUGCCACCAAAUUGCCGAGCAACUUUGCUCCCCUGUGAGAGAAGGUGAAUUCUGCCCAGUGUCCCAGUUCCCUGUAUAGCAAGCAUCCCGAGCACAGUGAGGUUUGGGACGCCGGUUCAGGAGAUCUAAGCUCAGGUCACUGAAUGGUUGCCAUUCCGCAAAAACAGAAGUUGGGGAUUGAAAAUAUUUCAGGUAGCCUGACACGGUGGCUCACGCCUGUAAUCCCAGCACUUUGGGAGGCCGAGGCGGGUGGAUCACCUGAGGUCGGGAGUUCGAGACCAGCCUGGCCAACAUGGCGAAACCCCAUCUCUACUAAAAAUACCAAAAAAAAAAAAAAAAUUAUAUGGGUUUGGUGGCAGGCGCCUGUAAUCCCAGCUACUUGGGAGGCUGAGGCAGGAAAAUCGCUUGAUCCAGGGAGGUGGAGGCUGCAGGGAGCCGAGAUCGCACCACUGCA
rnacentral:lncRNA from 1 species